GUGCUUGCUCUGGCAGCACAUAUACUAAAAUUGGAACGAUACAGAGAUUAUCAUCGCCCCUGCGCAAGGAUGACAUGCAGUAACAACAACAACAAACAGAUCAU
ensembl:snRNA U6 U6 spliceosomal RNA